AGACACUGAGCAGAAAGGUACAGUUACUUCUGUGUGUGUUUUUUCCAUAGUUUUUUCCUGACAUAUUUCGUGGGUGUUAAAACUGUUAUCCAUUUUCCCAAAAUGUCUCUUGCUCGUUUCGUCACAUGCGGAACACUUUCAGAACAAUUGAACCAGGUGAGGUGAAGUCUGCAGUUCUUUGUUGCAGUCUAAUGUGCACAUGGAUUGGUUGCAGUCAAACAGUAAAAGUUGUGAAUAAACUGAGCUGUUGCAUGCAGUCUUUGGUGCUGAUGUUGUCCUGGAGUGUGGGGGAGUUCCAUGCUUCAAGUCUUAUGGGAUCAGCCAUAUCUGGUUGACGCUGGAUCAUGCUGCAUUUUGGUUGCCAAAAUGUUAGACAUCUAGUAGAACUGCAAGAAACCUUCUUGAAAUGGUUUAUGUUUACGUAGCAGUGAUGUUGCUGUCCAAUAUGGCCUGCUGUUGCAGCCUAUACUGGUGAAAGAUUUUUUGCAUCGAGUUAAACUGUUGCUGUUCCUUGGUGUUGGACUGCUGGUGUUGUGCAGAAAAGUUACAUCCAGUUUUAAUUGUUAUUUGUGUCUAUACAGUUAACUGUUUAUAUGUUGAAAAGGAACAGAAACAGUUCCUUGGUGUUGAAUCGCUGGUGUUGUGCUACAGAAGUUACAUCCAGUAUUUUUUAUCUAAUUGCUAUUUGCGUUUAUGAAGUUAACCGUUUAUAUGCUGAGAAUGAAAAAAACAAAUAGUAACACGGGGAAUUUUUACGUUGAACAAAUAAUAAACAUGCCUUCGCGAUUGGGAAAUCAACGAGGAGAUUGGGUAGGGGGUAUUUUUAUUUUCAUUAACUAAAAGUUGUGGUUUGUUUUAAUGAGCUAGUAAUAAAAUCCUUUGUUAAUCACA